ensembl:snRNA U2 U2 spliceosomal RNA
AAAACUUUUCCAAAAAAAAAAAAAAAAAAAUCUGUUCUUAUCAGUUUAAUAUCUGAUACGUCCCCCAUCGGGGGACUACAUAUUAAAUGGAUAUUAAAUUUUUAAUUUUUCGAACAGGGAGUCGGAAAUGGGGCUUGCUCCGUCCGCUCCACGCAUCGACCCGGUAUUGCAGUACCUCCGGGAACGGUGCAACACUU